UCGUUCAAGGUGCUAGCAUUUUAAUUGGUGGCGAACCUGGAAUUGGGAAAUCUACCCUUUUGCUUAGAAUUGCAGCUAAUGUUGUGCAACUUUCCUCUUUUGAAUGUCUUUAUGUAUCUGGCGAGGAAUCUUUAGAGCAGUGUCUUUAACUGAUGUAGUAGCAACAAUAAAGGAAAAUAAAAGUAUUAAAUUCUUAGUAAUUGACUCUAUACAAACAAUGUAUGAUAGCAGAAUUACAUCGGCACCAGGCACUGUAACUCAGUUGGCCAUAUAACUAAGGAUGGACAAAUAGCUGGACCUAAAACUUUGGAGCAUAUGGUGGAUACGGUAUUAUAUUUUGAAGGUGAAAAUAGUAAUCAAUAUCGCAUUUUACGCACUAUUAAAAAUAGAUUUGGCCCUGCAAAUGAAAUUGGUGUUUUUGAGAUGUCUGAAGCAGGACUUGUGCCUGUUGAUAACCCAUCAUCAUUGUUUCUGAUGGCCCAUGACAGAGAAGUAGUUGGCAGCGCCGUAUUUGCAGGAAUUGAAGGUUCAAGACCAAUUUUAAUGGAAGUGCAAGCAUUAAUAGC